AUUGAACGCUGGCGGCAGGCCUAACACAUGCAAGUCGAGCGGAUGAGAGGAGCUUGCUCCUUGAUUUAGCGGCGGACGGGUGAGUAAUGCCUAGGAAUCUGCCUGGUAGUGGGGGAUAACGUUCCGAAAGGAACGCUAAUACCGCGUACGUCCUACGGGAGAAAGCAGGGGACCUUCGGGCCUUGCGCUAUCAGAUGAGCAUAGGUCGGAUUAGCUAGUUGGUGAGGUAAUGGCUCACCAAGGCGACGAUCCGUAACUGGUCUGAGAGGAUGAUCAGUCACACUGGAACUGAGACACGGUCCAGACUCCUACGGGAGGCAGCAGUGGGGAAUAUUGGACAAUGGGCGAAAGCCUGAUCCAGCCAUGCCGCGUGUGUGUAGAAGGUCUUCGGAUUGUAAAGCACUUUAAGUUGGGAGGAAGGGCAGUAAGUUAAUACCUUGCUGUUUUGACGUUACCGACAGAAUAAGCACCGGCUAACUUCGUGCCAGCAGCCGCGGUAACAC
rnacentral:rRNA from 1 species